CAAUUAAACCCUAAACCCUGCUGCUGCGAAGGAAGCCACCGGAGGCAGAAGCAUCAAGCACGCCCCGCAUCAACCUGCUCCCCAGGAAGAAGGAGAGGUGCUCGCGGGCUGCGAUGGCGAAGAGGUUGAUCCCGUCCCUGAACCGGGUGCUGGUGGAGAAGCUGGUGCAGCCCAAGAAGAGCCCCGCCGGCAUCCUCCUUCCGGAGAUCACCAAGCAGCUGAACGCUGCUAAAGUCAUAGCUGUUGGUCCCGGUGAGUGUGACAGGGAUGGCAAUCUGAUCCCUGUAUCUCUGAAGGAUGGUGAAACUGUUCUACUUCCUGAGUAUGGUGGAACAGAAGUGAAGCUCGCUGAGAAAGAGUACCUUCUUUUCAGAGAGCACGACAUACUGGGGAAGCUUGAGGAGUAACUCCAGACGGUCAAGAUACCAAGGCUGGAGUUAUUUCAGAGUGAGAUGCUGGAGUGUCGCCACAACUUCUUUUGUGGGGGGACAAAACCCUUUUUGGAUGGUGCGGCGUAUGGUCUAUCCAGCAUGUCACUGGCCACAAACUGAUACGCAGCUUUGGUGAGAUAUCCUGUCCCACGAGAUGUGCUUGGACGGAUCAGGGCAGAGAUGGAGGUGGCGUCGCAGGAGGCAAACUAGUUGGAGUUGUAGUGGUCCCCAUUUCCACAGCAUGCGAUCAGAGCAGCUUCCUAGGUGAACCCUGCGAUCAGCAGCAGAUAAAGAAAGAUGGUCACUCAUCGGUUCAAGUUCAAUCUGUGCUUUGCACUUGCGAGAUGAGGUUCAACUUGUGCUUUGCUCUAUGGGGUUAUGGUAUGGUUUUUUUUUUUUAAAGUUGUGCCGUGAGUUUCUUCUUUGUGAG